UACGUAGGGGGCAAGCGUUGUCCGGAAUUAUUGGGCGUAAAGCGCGUGUAGGCGGUUUCGUAAGUCUGCUGUGAAAGUCGGAGGCUCAACCUCCGAAAGCCGGUGGAUACUGUGGAACUAGAGUGCGGAAGAGGCAAGUGGAAUUCCUGGUGUAGCGGUGAAAUGCGCAGAUAUCAGGAGGAACACCAACGGCGAAGGCAGCUUGCUGGGACGUUACUGACGCUGAGACGCGAAAGCGUGGGGAGCAAACAGG
rnacentral:rRNA from 1 species